rnacentral:lncRNA from 1 species
GAAUGGUCUGUUUGAAACCUGAGCAGCACUGACUUCUGAGGACGACUGAGAUGGAGACAACCCCCAGUGUCCUGUCACUCCUGCAGUCUGAACUUCCAAACAGUCCACCUCCUUUGGUUUAAGAAGUCUUUGUAAAGUCAAUAUCCCUUCUAUCAGAAUGACCUGCACGUAGUCUUUGGGACUCGGGUUUACUUGCAGAGAUCUUCUGGGGAAGACAACCUUCUUUUUGAUCUUUUGACACAAAGGCAGAAGGCCCAUGACCUUCCUCCUGGUCACCUGGCUUGAGGAGAGCUGUUCCCCUUCGAGCUUUAGGAACAUAGAGUGCCAUGUCAGGCCUUUUGGUUCGAACUCUACAUCUCUCUGCUUCUUGCUGCAUGGCACCACUUUGAUCUGAAAGAAAAUGAAAGAGUUAAUAAUAAAAGACAAAAAAAAAUUCA